rnacentral:tRNA from 1 species
ACUUAAAUAACUUAUUUAGAGUAUAAUAUUGAAGAUAUUAGGGAGAUUGUUUUAAAUCUUUAAGUA